rnacentral:rRNA from 1 species
UUAUUUGAGAGUUUGAUCCUGGCUCAGGACGAACGCUGGCGGCGUGCUUAACACAUGCAAGUUGAACGGGCAUACAUGGAAGCUUGCUGAAGUGUAUGUUAGUAGCGGACGGGUGAGUAAUGCAUGAGA